ensembl:lncRNA
UCUCUUCUGGAGAUCCCUCCUUUUUGGAGUUUUCUGCUGUGAGCCUAGAUCCUCAGACACAGCAUUUUGAAUGCAGCCAUUGGGAACCAUGAAGGCAUCUUGUUACACACAGUCUUACAUCUCCUGGACACGUUCUGAGACAGACAGGUUGCUGUGCCUGACCUCAGUGCUUUGGGAAAAUGAUGACAAGGAGUCUUACAAGGAAUAAAAUGACUGAAAUGCAGAAACACUGCAGACUGAGGAGCACCAGCAGGUUGCUGAGGUCUCCCUAACUGCUGACUGAAUGACAGCUUUGUUCUUGCAGUGAUGUUACCCUUACACGGGAAUUUCUGAAGUUGUUUAUGGUCUCUGCCAUCAGACUGACAGCUGAAAUAGCGAGCAUUAGGCAGCUGCAAGGAUCUGCAUAACCUGAAAUUCGUGCUCCUGAUAGGCAGGAUCUGCCAACGGGUGAGAUCUGAGCGUGGUCAGCCUGCUUGGUGGUGGGUGUGCAUGGGACAUGCAACUCUUGCUUGUACACAGGCAGUGACUUUGCUUUUUGUACAGAUAAUUCAUUUUCAGGCCUGAGCUCUGGGAAAUGUGUAAUAUGUGAUAAGAAGCAAAACUCACUCAGUAAUAUGCAACUUUUGAGGCAGAAAAGAAUUCUUUAAUGUGUAUGAGGUGGCCAUUCCCAGGGCAUAAGCUAUGAUUGCUGUAAGCCCAUGUGCAUCACUUCUAGCUUAGCACUACAGUGGUGGCUUAUUGCUAUUUAUAUUGCCUUUUAAAAGCAUCAUAGUUCUUCACAUUUACAAUAUAUAUACAGCUCCGUCCAAUCACUCUCAAACACAACUGUGCACACAGUGAAAAUGAAACUUGUUUUUGCACCUGGGCAGGAAAUUCAUGUUUACAAGUUGCCCACUUUGGAAGCUGAACAGUCAACUCACCCUAGCAGAUCUUUAUUGCUACUAUAUAUCCUAUUAUUCUUGAAUGCAUCUUAUUUUUAUUUUCUUCAAAGGCAAGCAAGGCUGACUUUGGGUGAGUGUAGGCUGCAUUCAGGGUUUGGAAAUGUUUGCCAGCGCAGCCUUCUGUGCACAGCAUCCCAGGAGACAUGAGUCUGGGUGGUCAGGGCAGGACAUUGGCAGUGGGCACCCACAGAUGCCCCUGCUUGGGUGAAGAACAGCUGCAAAAUCAAGGGCGACAUCAGCUCACCAGCAGGGGCUAUUCUUAUACAUAGGGAGAGAAAAGCACAUGUGAGAAGCAAUUGUCUUUGUAACACCUGCAUCUGGAAUGCCUGACACAAACCAUAAAAUGGCAGCUAGAAGACAGGGUACUCAGAAAAACAUUUUUGAUUUCCCUUUCCUGUCACAUUAAACUUGAGUCAAAGUCAGUCUCCCAGGUGAGAGGCUGGAUCAGAGAGCAGCCUGGGUGCUGGAAUCCCAAACAAAGUUCUCUGAACAGUUGCAGAUGUGUCUCAGCCUCAUCAGGUUGAUGUAGGUAGGCACUUCUCUCGCAUCUCAUCCUUGUCAGCCUCCGCAGAGUAAGAGUCUGUCUUCCUUGUCAUCAAACAAUCCCAAGCCUCAGAGCAAUGCCAUGGUUUGGUCCCUGCACCCAAUCUAGCCACCAUCCAGCAGUUUAGCAGGCAGGGUGUUUGCUUAGGGCGCAGAAGACCCAGAUUCAGUUAUUGCUUUUGUUGUGCUGCAUGAGUUGAUGAGUUUGGGCUACCCUGGGCUGUGUAAGGACCCUCAAGCCCUUCCACUCAAGCUGUUCCACUUUGCCCGACAUAAUUAAAUAUUAAUUGGGCCAGUCUGAGAGAGUAAAUGACUUUUUAUAGGCUGGCAACUAGGCCACUCAGCCAGGAGGAAAACUGAAGUCCUAGCAAUCGUUUUACAACUAGAAGCACGUGGAUGUAUUUAAGCAUGAAUGUUAGAUUUUUGAAAGCAUUUAGGUGGUACCUGUUGGUUAACUACACUGAGCACACCAGCUCACCUUACCUGAGUUCCUAAGGUAAGAACAUCUGCACUGAAGUUUAAAACAAAGCAAAACAAAGGAAAAAAAAAAGACAACCUACCUGGUUGAGCUAACUCUGAACAAUUUGAGUCCAAAUCUCAGCUGGAUCUGGUGUGCAGUCAGUGAUUCACUCUGAAUGCAGCUUUCCCAAGAAAUUGUAGUGAGUGGCUGCAAAUCACUGCCUUGCUACCUGGCUUGAGACCAAGAGGGCUGCUGCUUCUGAAAGCCCUGUUGGAAAUGCAUUUUUAGGCAAGCCUUUUCAAAAGCCUCCACAAAUAAAAAAAUUACACUUUG